rnacentral:rRNA from 1 species
CGCGUAGGCGGCGUUUUAAGUCGGGGGUGAAAGCCUGUGGCUCAACCACAGAAUGGCCUUCGAUACUGGGACGCUUGAGUCUGGUAGAGGUUGGUGGAACUGCGAGUGUAGAGGUGAAAUUCGUAGAUAUUGGGAAGAACACCGGUGGCGAAGGCGGCAACCUGGCUCAUUACUGACGCUGAGGCGCGAAAGCGUGGGGAGCAAACAGGAUUAGAUACCCCUGUA